rnacentral:lncRNA from 1 species
UGAGACCGCAGGUGCUGUACAGCCCCCUAGCAAGUAAGCGAAACAAAAACGAUGAAUCCUUGGUAAUCUUAUGAGAGCUUUGGUCCAUGAAGGAUAUGUCCACCAGGGCACCAGGGCUGGCACAGGGCGAUCGUCCCGAUUCACCAAGCCACCCCGCGCACCCGCUGAGUGUCCAGUGUCCGUCCGAAUAAGUCCUGAUCCAGUCGGGACAAUCGCCUAGAAUGCUGGUACCGGGACCGGCAGAGCUGGUGGUUCAUAGGUGCCUCGGACGCCCACAACCCCCCUCCAGCGGUCUCACCUCAAGUUCCUUGCUUCAUGGCAAUUAGUUUUCAGGCUGUUCAUCGAGCCAGCCUGUACUGCGAAGGAAAUAGCACCUUGUUCCGAUCGUUUCCACCUGGGAAAUUCAUGUCAACCCGCCAUGGACUCAAUCCCUUCCUUCUGCCCUCAAUUUCUGCUAAUCGUAAGGUAGGACACCCUGCCUUGAAUCCAUUGCUUCUCUGACCUGUGGCUGUAUGUUCACCAGUCAUACCUCGGUUUUCUUCACAGCACUUCUGUAAGCAUUACUCCGUUGAGCUUCAGUUGAGCUUCAGUCACGUGUGUAAUACUGUCGAGUCAGGCUCCCAACCGCACUGUAGUCGCAUCCGCAACACCUUACACAGGUCACCAAGCUUGACCCUUUACCCAUUACAGCUUCGUCUAUUCAGCCUCCCUACGUUCAUUUAGCAAUAAAAUUCGCAUACUAACCAUACGCGUUCACCCCGGCUCUCACGCCUCAUUCCAUUCAUCUCCCACAGUCGACAUCCUAGCAUUGGCCUUUCAGCCUCCCCUUGGUUGUAUCGCAACCCUAGCCUUGGCCAUCCCACUCAUCUCAGUCCCAUUCACCAGACCCAUCAUGGGCCCUCCUCCGCUUCGGUCACCUCCACGACCCCCACAUAGACUAUCUGGCUCACUUCGGUCGCAUCCACGACAUCUCAGCACGGGGUGUCCAGCCAUUUCAAAUAGGCAGCAUUUGUGACAUAUCCUCGGAAACUCAAGUUGGCUCUUGUGAGUCAGUCUCAGUCGCAUCCGUGACACUUCAGGCUGUGGCCUGCUGCCAGUUUAAGGCUCAUGCGCAGCAAGUCGGCAAUAUUCCAGUUACCUCUACAUUCACACAAAGGUCAAACAGUUUCCGUCCAUCCGCCAGAGUAACUCACGUCAAGUCCCCACAAACCAGGAGCCCACGACGAACAUAGCGCCAGAGCAGCAGAACGGAGCCCUAAACCCUCACCCAGGCACUGAAACUCAAUCGAGGACCCCAAAGGCUCCGGGCCAUUGGACGGCAUCCUGCCACGCAUAGAAACACUUCCUAAAUGCCUCCCCCAGCCAACCCACCCGCAGUUCCUGGGCGAGUGGCCGGUGGUGUUAGGAGUCCAGAACUCACCUGCAUGGGAAUUGUGGGAAUUAUAGUCGUCAACCAACGCUGCAACAAAGGCGAAAUUUUGGUAACGCUUAUGUAUUGCAGGGGGAAGUCCAGCGGGUAGUGGACGACGUUCGGUAUGAAAUUGCCACUGGCGGCCAGGUAUGAUUCGGAUGUAGCCGAGCUGCGGCUAAGAAAGAAGUGGAUAGCCUGAAUUCCACAAACGGAAGAGGAGGACGAUGCUCUCGGAAAAUAAGUGCCGCUGCUGUCUGCCGGCGCCGUGCAAUUCCAUAUCCAGUGUCUUUGUACAACAUAUUCACCUUCACGCUAUCCAGAUGUGGCCCGUUGGGCUCCUCGCUGCGAAGAUAAUACCUUAAUCCUCCGGUCGUUUCAUGUAGGGAAGCCGCAGUGAACUAACCGGAAUAGUGGCAUCCUCAUAAGGGCCUUCGAGCCUAGCCUCGAUCGCAUGCAUAGCUUCCCCACACGAGCCAUCCAGGCUCACCUCAGUCAAAUUUAUGGCCCCCAGCAUGGUCCUUACCACUCUUCAAUGAGCUCUCCGACCUUCUACAGGACUUCCGCUUCAUCACAGCCAGCACUGUCAACCUGAGGAUAGACCAUCCGGUGCGCUCAGCAACACGCACGAUGUGCAAACAACGGCCCUCGCGCCCUUAGUACAUUCAUCUCUGCAUGGGUCACCCGGCCCCUCUUCAGUCUCAUACGCGAUACCGUAGCAAGGGUCACCAUCAGGGCUCACUUCCGGACCUGGGCCAUCAGGUGCCACUAGCAUCCACUCGGCUACACCCCGAAUCUGGGCCAUCAUGGCCAUCAGGUGUCGCCAGCGGCAACUCUACGACACCCAGAAACAGAGCCAUCAGGCCCCACUACCAUCAAUGCUGCAACACCCGGCCGAGGAGGCUUCGCUAACAUCGACCCACUAAACCCCGAACUUGGGCCAUCAGGCCUCACUAAUGUCGAGUCCGAGAGGCCUCACUAACGUCGCCUCGGUGACACCCCGAAUCUGUGCCCUCAGGCCUCGCAAACAUCGACUCCUCAACACUGUAAAGCUGGCCCUCAGGCCACGCUAAUGUCGAUUCCGCAACACUGUGACCUGGGCCAUCA